AGAGUUUGAUCAUGGCUCAGGACGAACGCUGGCGGCGUGCCUAAUACAUGCAAGUCGAGCGAGCGGAACCAGCAGAUUUACUUCGGUAAUGACGCAGGGAAAGCUAGCGGCGGAUGGGUGAGUAACACGUGGGUAACCUGCCCCUCAGACUGGGAUACCACUUGGAAACAGGUGCUAAUACCGGAUAAGAGCAGCUGUCGCAUGACAGCAGUUUAAAAGGCGGCCUUUGGCCGUCACUGAAGGAUGGACCCGCGGUGCAUUAGCUAGUUGGCAGGGUAACGGCCUACCAAGGCAGUGAUGCAUAGCCGAGUUGAGAGACUGAUCGGCCACAUUGGGACUGAGACACGGCCCAAACUCCUACGGGAGGCAGCAGUAGGGAAUCUUCCACAAUGGACGCAAGUCUGAUGGAGCAACGCCGCGUGAGUGAAGAAGGUUUUCGGAUCGUAAAGCUCUGUUGUUGGUGAAGAAGGAUAGAGGUAGGAAAUGGCCUUUAUUUGACGGUAAUCAACCAGAAAGUCACGGCUAACUACGUGCCAGCAGCCGCGGUAAUACGUAGGUGGCAAGCGUUGUCCGGAU
rnacentral:rRNA from 1 species